UACGAAGGGGGCUAGCGUUGCUCGGAAUCACUGGGCGUAAAGCGCACGUAGGCGGGUCGUUAAGUCGGGGGUGAAAUCCUGGAGCUCAACUCCAGAACUGCCUUCGAUACUGGCGAUCUUGAGCCUGGGAGAGGUGAGUGGAACUCCGAGUGUAGAGGUGAAAUUCGUAGAUAUUCGGAAGAACACCAGUGGCGAAGGCGGCUCACUGGCCCGGUACUGACGCUGAGGUGCGAAAGCGUGGGGAGCAAACAGG
rnacentral:rRNA from 1 species